rnacentral:rRNA from 1 species
GCGCAAAGAGAGGCCCAAGUGAGAUUAGCUAGUUGGUGGGGUAAAGGCUCACCAAGGCAACGAUCUCUAGCUGUUCUGAGAGGAAGAUCAGCCACACUGGGACUGAGACACGGCCCAGACUCCUACGGGAGGCAGCAGUGGGGAAUAUUGGACAAUGGGGGCAACCCUGAUCCAGCCAUGCCGCGUGUGUGAAGAAGGCCUUCGGGUUGUAAAGCACUUUCAGUGGGGAGGAAAGGUUANCGGUUAAUACCCGUUAGCUGUGACGUUACCCACAGAAGAAGCACCGGCUAACUCCGUGCC